GUAGGAGGCUGCGAAAAGCCUCGGGGAGCCGCCAACCAGGCUUCGAUCCGAGGAUUACCGAAUGGGGAAACCCGGCUGGAGUAAUGUCCAGUCAUUUCUCUCUGAAUAAAUAGGAGAGUCAAAGGUAACGAGGGGAAGUGAAACAUCUCAGUACCCUCAGGAAGAGAAAACAACCGUGAUUCCGUUAGUAGUGGCGAGCGAAAGCGGAAGAGGCUAAACCAAUCAUGUGCCAAGCCGGCAGGCGUUGCAUGAUCGGUGUCGUGGGACUAAAUGAAAUUAACUGCCGUUAAUUUAACAAGUCAGAAAAUAAUGAAAUAGAUGAAGGACGUGGGAAAGUCCGGCAUAGAAGGUGAGACCCCUGUAGUCGAAAUUUCAUUAUCUUGUUUUUAGUAUCCCAAGUAAUACCGGACUCGUGUAAUCCGGUAUGAAUCUGGCGGGACCACCCGCUAAGCCUAAAUACUCUCUGGUGACCGAUAGUGAACAAGUACCGUGAGGGAAAGGUGAAAAGAACCCCGCAAGGGGAGUGAAAUAGAAUCUGAAACCGUUUGCAUACAAACCGUUGGAGCUGCCUUGUGCAGUGACAGCGUGCCUUUUGAAGAAUGAGUCUACGAGUUAGUGUGAUGUGGCAAGGUUAACCCGUCGAGGGGAAGCCGUAGCGAAAGCGAGUCUGAAUAGGGCGAAUAAGUCGCAUCAUCUAAACCCGAAGCGAGGUGAUCUCGCCAUGACCAGGUUGAAGCGCGGGUAAGACCGCGUGGAGGACCGAACCCACUAAAGUUGAAAAUUUAGGGGAUGAGUUGUGGCUAGGGGUGAAAGACCAAUCAAACUUCGUGAUAGCUGGUUCUCUCCGAAAUGCAUUUAGGUGCAGCGUCACGUGUUUCUUACUGGAGGUAGAGCUACUGGAUGGCCGAGGGGUCCUACAAGAUUACCAACGUCAGCCAAACUCCGAAUGCCAGUAAGUGAGAACGUGGCAGUGAGACAGUGGGGGAUAAGCUUCAUUGUCGAGAGGGAAACAACCCAGAACAGCAACUAAGGUCCCAAAGCCUGUGCUAAGUGGAAAAGGAUGUGAAGUCGCAUAGACAACCAGGAGGUUGGCUUAGAAGCAGCCACCCUU
rnacentral:rRNA from 1 species